rnacentral:rRNA from 1 species
GAUGAACGCUGGCGGCGUGCCUAAUACAUGCAAGUCGAGCGAAUGGAUUAAGAGCUUGCUCUUAUGAAGUUAGCGGCGGACGGGUGAGUAACACGUGGGUAGCCUGCCCAUAAGACUGGGAUAACUCCGGGAAACCGGGGCUAAUACCGGAUAACAUUUUGAACCGCAUGGUUCGAAAUUGAAAGGCGGCUUCGGCUGUCACUUAUGGAUGGACCCGCGUCGCAUUAGCUAGUUGGUGAGGUAACGGCUCACCAAGGCAACGAUGCGUAGCCGACCUGAGAGGGUGAUCGGCCACACUGGGACUGAGACACGGCCCAGACUCCUACGGGAGGCAGCAGUAGGGAAUCUUCCGCAAUGGACGAAAGUCUGACGGAGCAACGCCGCGUGAGUGAUGAAGGCUUUCGGGUCGUAAAACUCUGUUGUUAGGGAAGAACGAGUGCUAGUUGAAUAAGCUGGCACCUUGACGGUACCUAACCAGAAAGCCACGGCUAACUACGUGCCAGCAGCCGCAGUAA